CUUUUCACUUAAAAUGAAAAAAAAAGGGGGAUUUCGCAAACAAACAACCACACCCCAAAUAAUUGUUAGAUUCAUGGUCAACUUUGGGGUGGGGGCGCCCCCCUCAAAUGAAUGUUUCCUCCUCACCUCGAGAGAAAGAAGUGGUGAGUUGGUAACACUGCUGGAUUUUGCUAAUAGGUGAUUUGAAAUUUGAAAUAUGUGUUAUUGACACCAUGUACAUACGGUAACCCAUUUGAAUAAAUGAAUGAAUGUCUCAAAGUCCACAGGUAAAAUUGUGUUAUUCAUAUUGUCUUCAUUUUUAAUUGUGUGCUCCUCGACACAUUGUGAAUGUUUUGUGAAUGUGCCCCAGUCAGUAGCCAAGUGCAUUGUCCACUUGCCUUGCUUCAAAUACGAUGGAGAGGAUUUUGAAGCCCCCCCACCGCCCCCCUCAUGAAUACCUGGUGCUCUCUGGCCACUAUGAGGACUCGGAUGUACACAUCUUUUAGUCUUAUGUUCUCAUGGACACCUGGAGCCCAAUUAAUUGGUGGGCGCAUCAUCCACUUGAGUCAUAGAUGCCGGGUUUACUACAGUUGAGUAAACUGCUACUGUGUGAAGAAAUGAGGUUACAAAAAAGUUCUAAAACAAGCAGCAAACAGAUAAGGUAACAUGUCAAGGAAAUUUAUUUUCAAAUAACAAUACAGCUCUUUUCUUUACUCAGGUCAUUCGUAGGAAAAUAUAGUGACUGUUCUGUAUAGAUGGCUAUUCUGCAAUAAUUUAGUCUGCACGGGUUUCUGUUAAAGCCAUUUGUGAGCUCCAAUCAUCAUCAUCAUCAUCAUCAGCGUCCUCGUUAGCAGUCCUGCAUGAGAUGCAACUCUGAGUGCAAAGGUUAU